GUUCUCUUUUCAAACGAUUAAGUGGUGGUUUGAGCUGUGAAUCUUAGGUUCUGAGAUUUUUGGUGGUGAGCAAGAUCUUCUUUGAGAGUGUUUCUUUCUGUUACGAGGUAAGGGAAGCUAUUUAAUUUAAUUGUGUGUGGGAUGAUUCUGUGUAUGUAUGGAAUGAAUUGAUUUGAUGAUUUAUGAUGGUAUGAAAUGUAUGUUUCUGGGUUUUGGUGGUUCUGUAUGAGUCUAUAAGAGUUUUGCAGAAUUAUGCAGAAAAGCUGUGUUCGGUCUCGACCGUUCGGUCAUGGUCAGUUAAUAAUUUAUCAAUAGAGUUAGCAUUUUAGUCUUACCAGCGCAUGACCGCUCGAUUUUUA
rnacentral:sRNA from 1 species